rnacentral:rRNA from 1 species
UCGUGGUAGGAGAGCGUCGAAUAAGGGGUGAAGUCAGAGCGGAAGCGCUGGUGGACUUUAUUCGAGUGAGAAUGCCGGAAUGAGUAGCGGGAAUUAUGUGAGAAUCAUAAUGGCCGAAAAUCUAAGGUUUCCUGAGGAAGGUUCGUCCGCUCAGGGUAAGCCGGGGGCUAAGGCGAGGCGGAGACGCGUAGCCGAUGCACAUACGGUUGAAAGUCCGUAGCCACCGAAAGAUUUAAGUACAGGGACGCUUUAGAAGUGAUGUUGCCGGGCGAUGGUUGACCCGGUCGUAAGGGAUCGAAAAUGAGUAGAGAAGUCAUCAUGGAAAGAGACAAGAAAAGCUGUAUGAAUAUCUUAGGUGCCCGUACCGCAAACCGACACAGGUAGAUAGGAAGAAGAUUCUAAGGCCAACGGGAGAAGGGUUGUUAAGGAACUCGGCAAGUUGACCCCGUAACUUAGGGAUAAGGGGUGCUCAAGUGAUUGAGCCGCAGAGAAUAGGCCCAGGCGACUGUUUAGCAAAAACACAGGUCUCUGCUAAAUCGAAAGAUGACGUAUAGGGGCUGACACCUGCCCGGUGCCGGAAGGUUAAGAGGAGAUGUGAGAGCAUUGAAUUGAAGCCCCGGUAAACGGCGGCCGUAACAAUAACGGUCCUAGGGUAGCGAAAUUCCUUGUCAGGUAAGUUCUGACCCGCACGAAAGGUGUAACGAUCUGGGCACUGUCUCAACAACCCGCCCGGCGAAAUUGUAGUACCGGUGAAGAUGCCGGUUACCCGCGACUAGACGGAAAGACCCCAUGGAGCUUUACUGUAGCCUAAUAUUGGAUUUCGGUAUUUCACGUACAGGAUAGGUGGGAGACUGGGAAGCACAGGCGUCAGCUUGUGUGGAGUCGACCUUGGGAUACCACUCUUGGAGUGCUGGAAUUCUAACCUGCGGCUUUGAAGCAAGUCGGGGGACAUUGUUAGGUGGGCAGUUUGACUGGGGCGGUCGCCUCCUAAAGAGUAACGGAGGCGCUCAAAGGUUCGCUCUGCAUGGAUGGAAACCAUGCGUCAGAGUGUAAACGCAAAAGCGAGCCUAACUGCGAGAAUGACGGUUCGAGCAGUAACGAAAGUCGGAGUUAGUGAUCCGGCGGUAUGUGAAUGGAAAUGCCGUCGCUCAACGGAUAAAAGCUACCCUGGGGAUAACAGGCUGAUCUCCCCCAAGAGUCCACAUCGACGGGGAGGUUUGGCACCUCGAUGUCGGCUCAUCGCAUCCUGGGGCUGAAUUCGGUCCCAAGGGUUUGGCUGUUCGCCAAUUAAAGCGGUACGCGAGCUGGGUUCAGAACGUCGUGAGACAGUUCGGUCCCUAUCUGUCGUGGGCGUAGGAUAUUUGCAAGGAGCUGUCCCUAGUACGAGAGGACCGGGAUGGACGCACCUCUGGUGCACCAGUUGUCACGCCAGUGGCACAGCUGGGCAGCUAUGUGCGGAACGGAUAAACGCUGAAGGCAUCUAAGCGUGAAGCCGCCCUUAAGAUAAGAUAUCCCUUCUGUUUACAGAGUAAGACCCCUUGAAGACUACAAGGUUGAUAGGCUCAAAGUGUAAGCACGGUGACGUGUUUAGCUAGCGAGUACUAAUCGGUCGAGGGCUUAACCU